GGAAUAUUGGACAAUGGCCGAGAGGCUGAUCCAGCCAUGCCGCGUGCGGGAGGACGGCCCUAUGGGUUGUAAACCGCUUUUGUUGGGGAGCAAUAAGGGUCACGUGUGACCUGAUGAGAGUACCCAGCGAAUAAGCAUCGGCUAACUCCGUGCCAGCAGCCGCGGUAAUACGGAGGAUGCAAGCGUUAUCCGGAUUUAUUGGGUUUAAAGGGUGCGUAGGCGGGCUGCUAAGCGUGAGGUGAAAUGCUGCUGCUCAACAGCAGAACUGCCUCGCGAACUGGUCUUCUGGAAUGCCCCUGCCGUGGGAGGAAUGUGUGGUGUAGCGGUGAAAUGCAUAGAGAUCACACAGAACACCGCUUGCGAAGGCAUCUCACGAAGGGGUGAUUGACGCUGAGGCACGAACGCGUGGGGAUCAAACA
rnacentral:rRNA from 1 species